rnacentral:rRNA from 1 species
CAGCCGCCACGGUAAUACAGAGGGUGCGAGCGUUAAUCGGAAUUACUGGGCGUAAAGCGCGCGUAGGUGGUUCGCCAAGUUGGAUGUGAAAUCCCCGGGCUCAACCUGGGAACUGCAUCCAAAACUGGCGAGCUAGAGUAUGGUAGAGGGUGGUGGAAUUUCCUGUGUAGCGGUGAAAUGCGUAGAUAUAGGAAGGAACAUCAGUGGCGAAGGCGACCACCUGGACUGAUACUGACACUGAGGUGCGAAAGCGUGGGGAGCAAACAGGAUUAGAGACCCCCGUAGUCCCUGUCUCUUUACA